ACAUCGAUGGUUCAGUGGUAAAAUGCUCGCUUGCCACGCUGGCGGCCCGGGUUCGAUUCCCAGCCGAUGCA
rnacentral:tRNA from 1 species